GACGAACGCUGGCGGCGCGCCUAACACAUGCAAGUCGAACGGAGCUGAGAGAAGCUUGCUUUUCUUAGCUUAGUGGCGAACGGGUGAGUAACGCGUGAGUAACCUGCCCUGGAGUGGGGGACAACAGUUGGAAACGACUGCUAAUACCGCAUAAGCCCACGAUCCGGCAUCGGAUUGAGGGAAAAGGAUUUAUUCGCUUCAGGAUGGACUCGCGUCCAAUUAGCUAGUUGGUGAGGUAACGGCCCACCAAGGCGACGAUUGGUAGCCGGACUGAGAGGUUGAACGGCCACAUUGGGACUGAGACACGGCCCAGACUCCUACGGGAGGCAGCAGUGGGGGAUAUUGCACAAUGGGGGAAACCCUGAUGCAGCGACGCCGCGUGGAGGAAGAAGGUUUUCGGAUUGUAAACUCCUGUCGUUAGGGACGAUAAUGACGGUACCUAACAAGAAAGCACCGGCUAACUACGU
rnacentral:rRNA from 1 species